GGAGAAUACCCAGAGGAACAGAAGGUGAGCAUUCAGCAAGCCAGCCCGCGUGGGAGCCAUGACACCCAGCAACACAGAGCCUAUCAGCAGCAUUUCCAAUCAUUCACUUAGCAACGACUUCAGGAGGCCCACACAUGCCUAUCGGCAGCCCUUUCUAAUGCCAAGCAGAUUAUUAAACACCGACCACAAUGGCUCAUGACUCAGAAAGGGCUUUUAGAUUUCUGCUAAGGUGGAGUCAGGAAAUGCCCCAUGGCCACAAGUGCCUGCUUCACUUUUUCUCUCUCGUUUUCAUGACAGAGUAACAGUGUUUUCUCUUCCCUGCUUCACAGCACACAGGUUCAGAAACAAAAGUGAACUGCAGAGGCUAUAAAUUGAUCGGAGUAGAAAUGCCGGCGUGAAGUGUGAACACCUGUGCAGUGCUCUCCGAAGACUCCUCUUCAGUUCCUGAUAAGCUCGUGGCUCUGGCUGGGUUCCUGACCUGCGCAGAUAACCUGGCUCAAAAGCGGCAUUACCAAUGAGAGGAGGAGAUGAGACUAACUGGAGGCCCUCAGUGGAAUCAGAGCAGCCUGCCCUCCGGGAAGGACCAGAAAUCCAGCCUGGGGCUCUGCUGAGAUACCAAUCGGCUCAUUCACCUACUCCUCAAACUCCGAGAGCUAGCUGAGCAAGGUGGGUCUCACUGCACAGUGGGGAAGGAGGGUGGCUCAAAGUAUGACAAAGGCGUCUCUGGAGGGAGAAGCAGGCUCAGUCAGGUGAUGGGGGCUUGGAAUAGCAUGGGAAGCGAGACUCCAACUAGACAGAGAAGUUGUCUGUUUCAAUCUUUUCUGUUGCCAACAACACAGUCUCACAGACCAGGUGAGUUAUACAAGAAGUUUUAUCGCAGCCCAUGAUUCUCAAGUCCAGGAUCUAAGGGCUACAUCUGAUGAGCUUCUUGGAAGCGGUCCCGAUGUGCUGCAGGGCAUUAUAGAAAUAAGCAUGCACAGAUGUUUCUCCCGGUCCCUCUUUUCUUUAGAAAGCCACUAGGAUCCAGUCUUGGGGGAUCUGCCCAGAGAUAGGUGCAUCUAACGCUAAGACACCAGCCUGACUCGGCUCUUCUCUGCAUCACUCUUGGAAUUAUUUCAACAAAUAAACCUCUGGGGAGGCCACACUACACUAUACUAAACCACAGCACUCUGUUUCUGGCACCCAAGGCUCCUGUGCAUCUUGCAGAGCAAAUCAGAUCAGUUUUAGCUUACAGUUUUGGGGAUCAACAGUUCAAGAUCAGGUGGCCCCACUGGUUUGGCCUCUAAUAUCAUAAGGACGGGAAGAGAUCACAUCUUAAAACAGGAAGCUAGGCAGAGUGUGCGCCUUUCACUAACUUAGAGACCUCACAGGAGGCUGCAGGAGCAACUCUUAGAGAACCCACCUCCUAAACUUGUCAGUACGAGAUCCAGACUCCCAGCAAAUGGUCCUUUGGGUGAUAUGCAACAUCGAGAUCUGUUUGGGGAAUGGGUGCCCUCCAAGUUAGGAGACUAAUUACAAUAAAGCUUUAUCAGUCAGCCGCUUCAGGUACAAGGGGAGCUGGGGGUCUGAGUGCAGUUUCCAGCUCAGUCUGCCCGGAAAUGCGCUUCUGAAAAAAGGAAUCCUGCUUUCUUGAUGAUUGUCAUCACAGCUUUGAAGAAAUUUACCUCUCCUGUUUGAUAAAUGAAUCUUCAGCUGACCGCGCUCCCCAGUAGGAAGGCAUAACUGAACUGCUGAGAGCCUUCUAGGACUCCGUCAGCAAUAAGUGACCCUGGAAAAAUACUGAUCAACAGGUGUGUAUGGAGUGACACUAACACCACAACCGUUCCACUCGUGUCUCGUCCGACACUCGAAGAAAAUGAUGGUUGUACAAAGAAGGUUCUAGCCCUGCCUGCCUUCAGUGAGGACAUGUGUGGAAAUGUAAGGUGAUGAUCGCCUCAUUGUGAAAUGAAUUUAACCCCACCAUAACAACCUCGCACACCUAGCAAAGGUUAAGUCGCCUCAGGUUAAACUCAG